rnacentral:tRNA from 1 species
AAUAAGAAGCAAUAAUGCAUUUAAUUUCGACUUAAAAGAUAGAGUUUAAUACUCCUUAUU